rnacentral:rRNA from 1 species
GGCGGUGUUUUAGUCUGGUUAGAGGAACCUGUAUUAUAAGCGACACUACACGUAUUAUUUCACUUGUUUUUGUAAGUCAGUUUGUAUACCGUCAUUAUAAGAUAAUUUGGGAGAGAGUAUUAUUGGAAUCAUAUUAUUGAGUAUAUUAGAUCAAGGUGCAGCUUAUAGAUAAGUAAGUAUGGGUUACAAUAAAAUUUAUUUAGUAUGGAUUAAGUAUUUAAAUACGCUUAGGAAGGAGGAUUUAAUUGUAAGGAAGGGAGUAGUGAGAUUUUCUGAUAGAAGCUCUAAAUUAU